GGCGUUGUCGCUCUUUUUGUGCAACGGUCUGGUUGCGCUGGAUUGCGGGAGUGCUGCUUUGCCCCUCUCGGGGCUGCUGGCUCCCUCCCCGACACCCGGGGAGGCGAUGGCCCCGGCUUCCUGUGAACUAGAGUUUCUGACGCGCCCGUGACGCCGCUCUUCGGAACUGACCCAGCCCAGGGCAGGGGGGACGCGGCUGGCGUCGCCCCGGCCUCUGCUGACUCCCUGUUUCUUCCCAGGCCCCUGGUCCCCGCAGGCGUGUCCGCAGCGCCGCGAGGGUUUCGUAAGAUGUCCGCCGGAGUGUUAACCGUUGAAUAAAGCGUGAUUAUUCUGGAAGCCUAGCUGGGGUCGCGCCCUUUCAGAUUAGGCACCGGUCUGGUGGCUGAAGGGCUGAAGUUUUUGAAUUCGCCCUCUUGGAGAGAUGUCUGUGAUGCCUAGGUAAUGGCUCCUGCCACUUGAACCUGCAGGCUGUGAUGAGAAGAGCCACAUUGUUUCUUUCUGGCUACUAUGGUGUUAACGCAGAGGAUUAUCUCCUUCUGGUAUUGGGCGGAUCCUAGGAACUUCCAUCUAACCUUCCUGCAUUAACCUGUGUGAGCGGCAGCUGUCAACUUACUGGAAAAAUGAAACUGUCUGGGAAUUUUGAAAUGCUUAAAUAUUUUUAGAUCAAUGAGACUUCUUUAACAAAAAUACUUG